UGAAGCAUGGAUUGUAGUCGCUCUGGAUAAGAGCGUCUGCUAAAUGACUUAAA
rfam:Salmo salar isolate Sally breed double haploid chromosome ssa12, whole genome shotgun sequence.